rnacentral:rRNA from 1 species
AACAGACGGUAACGGAAAUGCAUUUAUUGAGGACUUGAAGAGGAACGUUGGCAUUUAUGUUAACAACCACCUUGUCCAUUCCAGACAGUUGAAACCUUUUGAUGAGAUUUUCGUAAUGGGGCUUUCAAUAGUGUACAUGGGUGAGUUUAUUGCUGUCCGUGAUUUGUGUGCAGAUAGUACACUGCCUUUAAUGACAUCUUUCGAAGUCAAAACGCCUACCAACAACAUAGAGGAUAGAAAGUAUUUUGUGAGCACACCACGAAUUCUCAAGUCUGCAGAGAGAGACGAGAUAGAAGUUGAUGCUCCGCCGAGCCCGUUUACAACAGAUAAAACACCAGCAAUUCUUGCGAUAGGCCCAAGCUUUACUAUGUCUUUGGUUAUGUUGGUGAGCCUUGUCUCCUCAAUUACGAAUGCAAUCAGCGGCGGAGGGCGGUCAACAAUUAUUGCCAGUGGUGCCAUGGCGGUUGGGUCGUUGCUAGGUUCAAUUAUGUGGCCUUCCUUGCUUAGAAAUUAUCAAAAAAAACGAGCAAUAUCGGAAGAAAGCUACAGAAAAAACAGAUAUUUGGCGUAUAUUGCCGAUAUUGAGAAAGAGUUGAUUUCAAAGAAGGAACGAACUGUUCGCAUUUUAAACGAUUCGUUAUAUCCAUCCCCCAAGGCUCUCUGCGCCAUAUUGGACAGCGAAAACAAUAAACUUCGUUUAUGGGAACGUUCCUUCGAGGAUGAUGACUUUCUUGUUGUGCGCAUGGGAUUGGGCAGCAGAGAGUUUGAGGUGCAACUGAAAACUCCCAAACAAGGUUUUCAGCUGUACGAGGAUGAACUUCGUAAGCUGCCGGUUGACCUUUCGAAAAAAUAUAGAACGUUAAGCAAUGUUCCGUUAACACUCGAUAUACAGAACAAUCAUACGAUUGGGAUUAUCGGCAGUCCGAAAAACAUCCGUGUAAUUUUGAGUGAGAUAAUUUUGAACAUAAUCUCACUCCAUUCAUAUGAUGAAGUGAAGCUGGUGAUAGUUGCUCCGCCUAAACAAGCGCAUUCUUUUGAUGGUUUUAAAAACGUACCGCAUAUAUGGAGCAAUGACAAGAAGGUACGUUUUUUUGCCACAACACAGGAAGAAGUUCACUUCAUAUUUAACAAAAUCAACGAAAUAGUUCAAGAACGUGAGGAUUUACAGGCUAAAUCGGCAAUAGCUGUUCAACAUUAUGUUGUAAUUGUUACUGAACCGGAGCUGAUCGAAAAAGAAGCUUUGUGCAGGUAUUUGCAUGAUGCAGACAAUAAAGUAGGUAUCACGGCGUUGUUUGCAUAUGGAAACAUUACAAAAUUACCGAAAGCAUGCAAAACAAUUAUUCAGAGCGAUGACAACAGGACCGGGUACUAUAUUAAAAACAAAAACGGGAACAGGUUUAUACCGUUUACUCUCGAUACUGUUGAAUCAAGCGACCUUCUUAUGUUUGCAAAAAAACUUUCUCGUCUUCCAAUUAAGCGCGAUUCCCGCUCGCUCGGAAUGAUUGAUCGAAUCUCCUUCUUGCAAAUGUAUAAAGCGGGAAACGUUGAUGAACUUGAUAUCGAGGGUCGUUGGGAUAACAGCAAUUCCGCCAAAUCGUUGGCUGCGCCUAUCGGCGUUAUGGCGGGCGGCAAAGUGUUUAGUUUGGACUUACAUGAAGCAUAUCAUGGCUGUCAUGGACUUGUUGCAGGAACUACCGGCUCCGGCAAAAGUGAAUUCCUGCAAGCAUUUGUCCUGUCGUUAGCAAUCAACUAUAGUCCGAAUGAGAUUGCUUUCGUGCUGGUAGACUUUAAAGGCGGUGACAUGGCCAGACCGUUUAUAGCAAAAACGUCCUCACCAGCGCUCCCUCACUUGGCAGCUACAAUUUCCAAUCUGUCAGGUAAUAUUCUUUAUCGCGCAUUGGUUUCAUUGGAUGCAGAGAUUAAAUCCAGGCAAAGAAUAUUUAAUGAGUCGGCCGCCGCCCUCGGCGUUGAUAAAUUGGAUAUCAAUUCUUAUCAUAAGUAUUAUAAGGGCGGACGGCUUAUUUCACCUUUGCCCCACUUGGUGAUCAUUAUUGAUGAGUUUGCCCAACUGAAAACCCAGCAGCCGGAAUUUUUGUCGCAACUUGUUAAUGUAGCGCAAGUCGGGCGCAGUCUUGGAAUCCAUUUAAUACUUGCAACUCAAAAACCAAGCGGCAUAGUAGACCCGCAGAUAAUGAGCAAUGCGCGAUUCAAAGUAUGCUUAAAAGUGGCGGACACGCCUCCAAAAGAGUAACGGAGGCUUCCCAAGGUCCGCUCAGGACGAAUGGCAACCGUCCGCAGAGUGCAGUGGCAGAAGCGGGCUUGACUGGGAGACAAACAGGUCGAGCAGGUACGAAAGUAGGGCAAAGUGAUCCGGCGGUUCCCCAUGGGAGGGCCGUCGCUCAUAGGACAAAAGGUACUCCGGGGAUAACAGGCUGAUCGCUCCCAAGAGCUCAAAUCGACGGAGCGGUUUGGCACCUCGAUGUCGGCUCGUCACAUCCUGGGGCUGGAGCAGGUUCCAAGGGUUCGGCUGUUCGCCGAUUAAAGUGGCACGCGAGCUGGGUUCAGAACGUCGUGAGACAGUUCGGUCCCUAUCCGUUGUGGGCGUAGGAAAAUUGAAGAGAGCUAUCCUUAGUACGAGAGGACCGGGAUGGACCAACCUCUGGUGUAUCUGUUGUAACGCCAGUUGCAGUGCAGAGUAGCUAUGUUGGGAAUGGAUAAUCGCUGAAAGCAUCUAAGCGAGAAGCCAACUUUAAGAUGAGUUUUCCCAUAUUUUAUAUAGUAAGAUCCCUCAAAGACGAUGAGGUUGAUAGGCUAGAUGUGGAAGCAUGGUGACAUGUUGAGCUGACUAGUACUAAUAGAUCGAGGAUUUAACCC